UUCAAGUCAAGCGGGCACAGCUGACUUUGCACGUGGGUUUCAUGCGCUCCAAAAAUGCUUUUUAUAUUUUCCCAAAAGGCGUUUGUGCACUUCUUAGCUUUUUUUGUCUAGUGAAGAGAAGGGCCAGGGGUGACGUGAUAGCAUCUUCCAAUAAUUGAGGGGCUGCCCCAAAGAGGAAGGGGGUCAAAUUAUUCUCUAAAGCACCCAAAGGCAGGAGAAGAAGCAACAACGGGUGGAAACGCAUCAAGGAGAGAAGCAACUUAGAACUAAGGAGAAAUUUCCUGACGAACAACGCAGGGAGUCCUCAAUUUGCGACCAAUUACUUAGCGGCCGUUUCAAAAGUUUCAGCGACGCUGAGAAAAGCGACUGACAUCCUGUCCUCGCACUUACGACCAGCAACGUCCCCCCAGUCCUGGGAUCAAAAUAAGACGUUUCGCUUCGCUUCUCAUCAAAGAAGUUUCUUCAACUCUUCAAACGUCUUCAAAGGAAAAAAAAACCCCAGAAAGU